UCUUCAUUUCAAGUGCUCUCUCGUCGGUCCGAAAGGCGAGAGAGCGUGUGAAAUGAAGAGA
rnacentral:pre_miRNA from 1 species